rnacentral:rRNA from 1 species
AUUGAACGCUGGCGGCAGGCCUAACACAUGCAAGUCGAGCGGAUGAAGGGAGCUUGCUCCUGGAUUCAGCGGCGGACGGGUGAGUAAUGCCUAGGAAUCUGCCUGGUAGUGGGGGAUAACGUCCGGAAACGGGCGCUAAUACCGCAUACGUCCUGAGGGAGAAAGUGGGGGAUCUUCGGACCUCACGCUAUCAGAUGAGCCUAGGUCGGAUUAGCUAGUUGGUGGGGUAAAGGCCUACCAAGGCGACGAUCCGUAACUGGUCUGAGAGGAUGAUCAGUCACAGGGGAAGUGAGACACGUACGAAGCCCCCGCGGGAGGGGCAAGGGGGGAAAAUGGAGAAAGGGGGGAGGUCUUGAACAACCAGGCACGCGUGUGUAAAGAGGGUCUUCGGUUUGUAAAGCAUUUUACGUGGGGAGGAAGGCAAAAAAUUUAAUACGUUCCUUUUUUCACUUAAAGACACAAAAAGCCCCGGGCUAACUUGGUG